UCUCACGUCAAGUUCAUUUUUUUUUUUUUUAAUAAAAGUCCCAAUUUUUGCGUGAAAAUCAUGUUGGCCAACGAUUUAUAAACGAGGCAAGAUGAGGACAGUGGAGAGACCAUGAAGAUACAGACCAGUAUUCUUUUGGUAGUUAGUGAAACACUUUCCCAUGAAGAGUUACUGCCUCCUGGUGGUCAAUCUGGUGUACUUCAUGUGAAGAAUCCAUUCAGACUCCAGCAAUUUACAGUUUUACAGUUUCUCAAUCGCAUACAAGCAAUAUUUUUUGUAACAACGUUGUCAGUUUUCGAAACGGUGUUCACAAGACACAAAACUAUCUGACAGUUUGCAAAACAGUCCUUUAUUUUUUAUUUAUUUUUAUGUAGCUGCCUUUCCAAAACAAAUACAUCAAUCCAAACCAAAUGAUACUGUCAGACUUGCAAGUGCAUUCUUUAAAACAUGACCGUCUGCAAAAAGAUUAACACAAACAUACAUUUGUUGAGUCUAAGCUGACAAAACAGAAAGUUAGUCUGUCUUUUAAGUAGAUUUGAGAUCAAUAGAUUGUCUUUGCAGUAACUAAAUCAUGAUGAUCAAAUUUGGAAAUACAACUAUCGAAAGGUGCAGGAAUUAUAGGUAAUUACUGUCCUUUUUUUAAAUGCAUAUUUCACCAAACAAUUUCAUACACAUCAAAAUAAAUAUUAUUCCUGAUCAAAAAAGGAAAAAUAGAAAAUAUCCACAUUGUGUGCCGGAUUUAUUCAUCGCCAUCAUUAUAAUCCAGAUGCCGGUGUGCUCAUAGGUUCGUCAACUUUCCAACGACGCAGAAACACAAUCCACAAUCGAAAUAAAGAAACGGUGAAUACAACUGAUACGAACCAAGUCUCAAAUCACACCGAAAACAAACCUGUAAUGUUGGAGAUGAUGUCUUUUAGGAGUAACCCAAAGUUACUUACAAAAUAACUCAACUUUCUUCUCUGCAAUGUUGUCAAGAAUCAUAGCAGUUAGACAGUUCCCAUGUUUACAUCUUUCUUUAUAUUCUACUACUGAAAACGCCAUUUAACAUUUUGUACAGUUGCCGGAAACAGUGAACACAUUUGUAACAUGUUCUCUUCUUAUGAAAACAACGUGUUGAUAUUCUGUCAGCAAAACACUUUUACACUCGACUUUGUAUUCAUUGAUGACAAUUCUAUUUUUAGCAAAAAUGGGUCUAAGAUAUUCAAUCCAGGUAACAAAGACAAUAACAUUAUCUGACUUUCUGAAAAUCUAUUUAAUCAUUUGACCAUGGUUGGUUUGCUAUCGGUCCGUUUAGCCAUAGUUAAUUUGACAAUGGUUGGUUUGCUAUAGGCACGUUUAACCAGUUCAUUUGACCAUGGUUGGCUUGCUAUCGGUCCGUUUAGCCAUAGUUAAUUUGACAAUGGUUGGUUUGCUAUAGGCACGUUUAACCAGUUCAUUUGACCAUGGUUGGUUUGCUAUAGGUAUGUUUAACCAGUUAAUUUGACCAUGGUUGGUUUGCUAUAGGCACGUUUAACCAGUUCAUUUCACCAUGGUUGGUUUGCUAUAGGUACGUUUAACCAGUUAAUUUGACCAUGGUUAGUUUGCUAUAGGUACAUUUAACCACAAUUCAUUUGACCAUGGUUGGUUUGCUAUAGGACGUUUAACCAUAGUCCAUUUGACCAUGGUUGGUUUACUGUAGGUCCGUUUAACCAUAGUUAAUUUGACCAUGGUUGGUUUGCUGUAGGUACGUUUAACCACAAUUCAUUUGACCAUGGUUGGUUUGCCAUAGGUAUGUUUAGCCAGUUAAUUUGACCAUGGUUGGUUUGCUAUAGGUAUGUUUAACCAGUUAAUUUGACCAUGGUUGGUUUGCUAUAGGUACGUUUAACCAGUUCAUUUGACCAUGGUUGGUUUGCUAUAGGUAUGUUUAACCAGUUAAUUUGACCAUGGUUGGUUUGCUAUAGGUACAUUUAACCAGUUCAUUUGACCAUGGUUAGUGUACUACAGGUUUAGCCAGUUAAUUUGACCAUGGUUGGCUUGCUAUCGGUCCGUUUAGCGAUAGUUAAUUUGACAAUGGUUGGUUUGCUAUAGGCACGUUUAACCAGUACAUUUGACCAUGGUUGGUUUGCUAUAGGUACAUUUAACCAGUUCAUUUGACCAUGGUUGGUUUGCUAUAGGUACAUUUAACCAGUUAAUUUGACCACGUUUGGUUUGCUAUAGGUUUAACCAGUUAAUUUGACCAUGGUUGGUUUGCUAUAGGUUUAACCAGUUAAUUUGACCAUGGUUGGUUUGCUAUAGGUUUAACCAGUUAAUUUGACCAUGGUUGGUUUGCUAUAGGUUUAACCAGUUAAUUUGACCAUGGUUGGUUUGCUAUAGGUUUAACCAGUUAAUUUGACCACGGUUGGUUUGCUAUAGGUUUAACCAGUUAAUUUGACCAUGGUUGGUUUGCUAUAGGUUUAACCAGUUCAUUUGACCACGGUUGGUUUGCUAUAGGUUUAACCACAGUUCCAAAAGAUGCUUGUACCCGAUCCAGAAACUGUAAUGAACCAUCUGCAUUGUCAGACUGCUUCAUCCUCGUCUUUUCAUCAUUUAAUAAACAGGUCUGUCUAAAUAAAGACACAUUAACAGGAUAUAUAUAUAUAUAU
rnacentral:lncRNA from 1 species